CCUACGGGAGGCAGCAGUGGGGAAUCUUGCACAAUGGAGGAAACUCUGAUGCAGCGAUGCCGCGUGAGUGAAGAAGGCCCUUGGGUUGUAAAGCUCUUUCGUCGGGGAAGAAAAUGACUGUACCCGGAUAAGAAGGUCCGGCUAACUUCGUGCCAGCAGCCGCGGUAAU
rnacentral:rRNA from 1 species